AAGAAGGGGUUUCCGGAAGAAACUAAAAAGAAGCCCUUUCGUUCCUUCAAUUCCCAGACUAGACCCUAUAGGGGCAAAGGGAAGGGGGGUAGGUGGAGUUACCAAAAAGGGGGGGAAAAGGCAGAGGGUUCCUUCUCAACCCCCAGAAUAAGCAGUCAGAUAAACAAUGACGCCAGAGUGGGGGGAAGACUGCGGAAUUUUCUGUCCCGGUGGGAAUCCAUUAC